AUACGUAGGUGACAAGCGUUAUCCGGAUUUACUGGGCGUAAAGGGCGUGUAGGCGGUCUUGCAAGUCAGAAGUGAAAUUCCUGAGCUCAACUCGGGCGCUGCUUCUGAAACUGCAGGACUUGAGUGCUGGAGGGGAUAGCGGAAUUCCUAGUGGAGCGGUAAAAUGCGCAGAUAUUAGGAAGAACACCGGUGGCGAAGGCGGCUAUCUGGACAGGAACUGACGCUGAGGCGCGAAAGCGUGGGGAGCAAACAGGAUUAGAUACCCUGGUAGUCCACGCUGUAAACGAUGAAUACUAGGUGUAGGGGGUAUCGACUCCCUCUGUGCCGCAGUUAACACAAUAAGUAUUCCGCCUGGGGAGUACGGCCGCAAGGUUGAAACUCAAAUGAAUUGGCGGGG
rnacentral:rRNA from 1 species